GGACACGUGGUAUCCUGUCUGAAUAUGGGGGGACCAUCCUCCAAGGCUAAAUACUCCUGACUGACCGAUAGUGAACCAGUACCGUGAGGGAAAGGCGAAAAGAACCCCGGCGAGGGGAGUGAAAAAGAACCUGAAACCGUGUACGUACAAGCAGUGGGAGCACGCUUAGGCGUGUGACUGCGUACCUUUUGUAUAAUGGGUCAGCGACUUAUAUUCUGUAGCAAGGUUAACCGAAUAGGGGAGCCGAAGGGAAACCGAGUCUUAACUGGGCGUUAAGUUGCAGGGUAUAGACCCGAAACCCGGUGAUCUAGCCAUGGGCAGGUUGAAGGUUGGGUAACACUAACUGGAGGACCGAACCGACUAAUGUUGAAAAAUUAGCGGAUGACUUGUGGCUGGGGGUGAAAGGCCAAUCAAACCGGGAGAUAGCUGGUUCUCCCCGAAAGCUAUUUAGGUAGCGCCUCGUGAAUUCAUCUCCGGGGGUAGAGCACUGUUUCGGCAAGGGGGUCAUCCCGACUUACCAACCCGAUGCAAACUGCGAAUACCGGAGAAUGUUAUCACGGGAGACACACGGCGGGUGCUAACGUCCGUCGUGAAGAGGGAAACAACCCAGACCGCCAGCUAAGGUCCCAAAGUCAUGGUUAAGUGGGAAACGAUGUGGGAAGGCCCAGACAGCCAGGAUGUUGGCUUAGAAGCAGCCAUCAUUUAAAGAAAGCGUAAUAGCUCACUGGUCGAGUCGGCCUGCGCGGAAGAUGUAACGGGGCUAAACCAUGCACCGAAGCUGCGGCAGCGACGCUUAUGCGUUGUUGGGUAGGGGAGCGUUCUGUAAGCCUGCGAAGGUGUGCUGUGAGGCAUGCUGGAGGUAUCAGAAGUGCGAAUGCUGACAUAAGUAACGAUAAAGCGGGUGAAAAGCCCGCUCGCCGGAAGACCAAGGGUUCCUGUCCAACGUUAAUCGGGGCAGGGUGAGUCGACCCCUAAGGCGAGGCCGAAAGGCGUAGUCGAUGGGAAACAGGUUAAUAUUCCUGUACUUGGUGUUACUGCGAAGGGGGGACGGAGAAGGCUAUGUUGGCCGGGCGACGGUUGUCCCGGUUUAAGCGUGUAGGCUGGU
rnacentral:rRNA from 1 species